rnacentral:rRNA from 1 species
GAUGAACGCUGGCGGCGUGCCUAAUACAUGCAAGUCGAGCGAACGGACGAGAAGCUUGCUUUUCUGAUGUUAGCGGCGGACGGGUGAGUAACACGUGGAUAACCUACCUAUAAGACUGGGAUAACUUCGGGAAACCGGAGCUAAUACCGGAUAAUAUUUUGAACCGCAUGGUUCAAAAGUGAAAGACGGUCUUGCUGUCACUUAUAGAUGGAUCCGCGCUGCAUUAGCUAGUUGGUAAGGUAACGGCUUACCAAGGCAACGAUGCAUAGCCGACCUGAGAGGGUGAUCGGCCACACUGGAACUGAGACACGGUCCAGACUCCUACGGGAGGCAGCAGUAGGGAAUCUUCCGCAAUGGGCGAAAGCCUGACGGAGCAACGCCGCGUGAGUGAUGAAGGUCUUCGGAUCGUAAAACUCUGUUAUUAGGGAAGAACAUAUGUGUAGUAACUGUGCACAUCUUGACGGUACCUAAUCAGAAAGCCACGGCUAACUACGUG